rnacentral:rRNA from 1 species
ACAUAGCCGACCUGAGAGGGUGAUCGGCCACACUGGGACUGAGACACGGCCCAGACUCCUACGGGAGGCAGCAGUAGGGAAUCUUCGGCAAUGGGGGCAACCCUGACCGAGCAACGCCGCGUGAGUGAAGAAGGUUUUCGGAUCGUAAAGCUCUGUUGUAAGUCAAGAACGGGUGUGAGAGUGGAAAGUUCACACUGUGACGGUAGCUUACCAGAAAGGGACGGCUAACUACGUGCCAGCAGCCGCGGUAAUACGUAGGUCCCGAGCGUUGUCCGGAUUUAUUGGGCGUAAAGCGAGCGCAGGCGGUUUGAUAAGUCUGAAGUUAAAGGCUGUGGCUCAACCAUAGUUCGCUUUGGAAACUGUCAAACUUGAGUGCAGAAGGGGAGAGUGGAAUUCCAUGUGUAGCGGUGAAAUGCGUAGAUAUAUGGAGGAACACCGGUGGCGAAAGCGGCUCUCUGGUCUGUAACUGACGCUGAGGCUCGAAAGCGUGGGGAGCGAACAGGAUUAGAUACCCGUGGUAGUCCACGCCGUAAACGAUGAG